rnacentral:rRNA from 1 species
CCUGGCUGCCGUAGCGCGGUGGUCCCACCUGACCCCAUGCCGAACUCAGAAGUGAAACGCCGUAGCGCCGAUGGUAGUGUGGGGUCUCCCCAUGCGAGAGUAGGGAACUGCCAGGC